rnacentral:rRNA from 1 species
CACAAUGGGCGAAAGCCUGAUGCAGCAACGCCGCGUGAGGGACGACGGCCUUCGGGUUGUAAACCUCUUUCAGUAGGGAAGAAGCGAAAGUGACGGUACCUGCAGAAGAAGCACCGGCUAACUACGUGCCAGCAGCCGCGGUAAUACGUAGGGUGCAAGCGUUAAUCGGAAUUACUGGGCGUAAAGCGAGUGUAGGUGGCUCAUUAAGUCACAUGUGAAAUCCCCGGGCUUAACCUGGGAACUGCAUGUGAUACUGGUGGUGCUAGAAUAUGUGAGAGGGAAGUAGAAUUCCAGGUGUAGCGGUGAAAUGCGUAGAGAUCUGGAGGAAUACCGAUGGCGAAGGCAGCUUCCUGGCAUAAUAUUGACACUGAGAUUCGAAAGCGUGGGUAGCAGAGCGUUAUCCGGAAUUAUUGGGCGUAAAGAGCUCGAACAGGAUUAGAUACCCUGGUAGUCC